AGCACUACCCCUUUGUCCAAGUGCCUUAUAACAUGUCUUUAUAACUGGCUGUGUAAGAAUGAAGAAAAGCUGUCCAUCUUCUGAGAAGCCCACUUCUCCACCAAGGUGCUCAGUUUUAGGAGUGGAGAACAGGGGCCACGGAAAAUACAUUGCUCCCCAGCUCCCAGCUCUCUUUACUUUCUCCCAGGAAGCAGCAUGUGCCAUCCUUCUGUCAGAAAACACCAAAGAGAUGAAGAAAUGAGAAAUCCAGAAACCAAAGACCUUGCUCUUUUGUCAAACAGACUUGGUAGAGCAGAGUUGCAAAAUCAGACCUUUGGGGGCUUGCGUGUUUCUCCUCUUACUCCCUGGUGUAGAAGCCCUGCCUUGAACUUCAGGCUGCCUGGCUUGGAUCCUGAUGCUGCUUUGCUGACACAAUCCAUUCUCCCAGGGAACACCCAGAGUUCCACUCCAGCCCUGGCAACGCUGCAGCAGAGGCCAACUGUACGGAAAGUCUACAUUGGCUCGGAACAAUUGAGGCUGGGAGAGGCUGGUGAUUUCCUGCUUGGUCGUCUUUUAAAACCCAGCCAUCUGAAUCCGAGAGUUGCUUCUUCAGCAAGGCCUCCCCUGACUCCUUCAGAUGUCUAAGCACCACCCCUACUCUUCUGCUGCAGCAUCUCCACUUGCUUUUGUCCUUCAUCUCCCUGAAAUUAUUUGCUUACUCAUCCAUCCAUGUCAGUUGCAAAAGCAUGACUUCCUCUAGUCCAAAGGCCAUUCAUGUUCAAUAUGUUAGCACUCGGAGCGUCUCCAGUGGUUGUUUCAAACAAGGCAAAUGAGUUCAGUUGAACUUUAUAUGUUCUGCCCUCCGACUGUGACUGUUAUUUACUUCCCUCCAAACAAAAUGUAAUAAUAAAAUGACUAACUGAA
rnacentral:lncRNA from 1 species